rnacentral:RNase_P_RNA from 1 species
GUGCGUGGCUAGGUAAACCCCACUCGGAGCAAGACGAAAUAGGAAUCCAUUGGCGCGGCCCGCGUUGGAUUCGGGUAGGUCGCUUGAGGCGUACAGUGAUGUGCGUCCCAGAGGAAUGGCUGUCCUCGACAGAACCCGGCUUAUAGAUCGACUCUCCCA